UGUUCAUCGCCAAAGGAAUUAACACAAGCAGUCCCACCACAAGAAGCUGUCCUAACUUUGAAAGCUAUUGUCCUCAACGCUUCUCCCAUACACAUCAGCAAAGUUCUCAAUCCCUUGUCAGGUGUUGCUUCUCUCAAAAACUCUUCCUAUACACUCAAACUCAAUAAUUGAAUCAUCAACAAGAUUUUUAGAUAAAAGAAUUGAGUAAUGUUAUUGCUCUGGAGACUUACCAAGCUUUGACCAAUCUCACAUUUGGUCACAGUCGAACCACCAUUGUUCUUAGCCUUGGUGGCUUUCAAUUGCGAUCUUGGUGCUACUCUUAGUGACUCUCCGAAGAUUGAGCUAGACUUCAGACGCUGCUGAGAUCAAAUGUUAAGUACCCUUUUACAGUUAAGAACACAUUCGUUAUAAUGAAUCACACUCACUAGAACUAGAAGUGAACAUAUCACACGUGCGCGCUUUGCAUGUGUGCGUGUAGAGGAUACUACUAACCUUGAAGCUGGAUGAUGCGGAGAAGGAAUAAGGAGGAGAAACCAAUGUAGAUGAUCGUUGAGAAGAAACGCUUGGGAGGAUGAUCCCACGUGAGUAGCAUGUGACGCUGGUCUCCAUGGCUUAAUUAUGUUUCUGAAGUUUGAGGUUGAUAAAAGAAGAAGAGCUCUCUACAGAGGAUAAAGGUGGAAACAAAAGAUCAAACUCAAGUGGUGUGGUGUAUGUAGGAGAAGAUAAAGUGAUCAUUUAUUGUGUGGUUAUGGUCUUUUUAACGUAUUUUUCCAUUUUGAGAUGAUAUCAUCAACAUCAGUUACUCAAAAAUAAAUGUUUUUUUUUAUUGAAAAUUUUCAAAAAUAGUAUCAGAGCCAGGUUUCGAUCCUGGGACCUGUGGGUUAUGGGCCCACCACGCUUCCGCUGCGCCACUCUGAUUUAUUGAUAAUAACUACAAGAUUAAAAUAUAUAACAGACAACUAGAAGAUAUUGUAGAAAUGUUACUUUACAAUUCGUGUUAUACGACUUUAUAUAGUUUUCUAACAAGACCCAUUUAAGAUUAUAACAGGCCUGUUACUCUAGCUUUAAUGGCCCAAAAUAGAUUUCUUGUUCUCCAAGGAUUAGACGCACACCAAAAGAAUCUAAACCUAUUUUUUUUCCUCCUCGUCUCUUUCUUUCACAUGUUCUCAGAGAUAAGCUGAGAUGCAAUUCGUGAAGGCAAGAACGCAAGUGUUCUGAAACGGUUGUUUUCCAAAAGGAAUGUAUCAGAUUUUUUUAUAGAUAAUAACACAAAAAGACUUCAGGAGACAUCAAUGGAAACAUUAAUGGAUAGAUUACACACUUCACACACAAAGAUACCAAGAGAAAACAAACUGAAUCAGUCUGGCAUUAACUUCAAUUUAGACUAGAGAGAGGAGAUAAUUCUUGAGUUUAAGAUUCAGGAACCGCCGUUGCUGGUGUACCAGCGGCUACUGCGGCGGCUGCAGAGCGUUUGAUGGAAGCGGAUUUGAUCAAGUGGUUGUAGCUACCCUUUUCCUUGAAAGGCUGAGCGAAAUGGUGCUUGCAGUACAAGAUUCCUUCAAGAGCUGCGUAGUUUGAAGGCGAAAUAGGGCAGCCUCCAUGUGAGCACUUGAAGCAGGACUUGUGAUAUGUCUGGCUCUCCACUGUUACCUGCAGUUUUCCCAGAAAGAUGUUUGUCACCAACAAAAGAGCUUUCAAAACCUUUUCUCUUGUGUGCCAGAGAACAUGCCAGCAACUCGGCUAGGAGUCCUUGUCUGAGAACAAACGAAGAAGUUCAAUCUGAGUAAACGUAUCUAAAGAGAUUCUGUAGAAACCAGAUAAAAGAAACAUUUAUACCAGCUCAGGACUUGAUUUCUCAGCUGGUUUUGCAGCUGUAAGGAGAGAAAAGUUCCAAGAUUAAUAGGAAAGCCACAACAAGAAAGGCAAAGCUUAAAGUCUAGAUGGAAAGAAGCAGCAGGAACAAGGAGAAGAGGAAGUACAUACGUGACUGAAAGUUUUUGGUGAAGCUACCAGACUCCUUGAAGAGCUGCUCAUAAUGAGGCUUACAGUACAACACUCCUUCCAUCGAUGAAUAUCUACUCAGCUGUACAAAAAAUUCAUACUUUAUCAGGAUCACUAGAGAAACUUUGAAAUCAAACAGUUAAGAUACCUGAAGCCUGGAUUUGCAGUGGGUGCAUUUGAAGCAAGACUUGUGAUAGCUAACUCCAUCAGCAGAGAGAAGCUCCACAGGGUAGACAGUCUUCUCGCAAGCCUUGCACUUCUGCUGAGUUCCUGUGAAAGAAGACAUCCUUCCUUCAACCCCCUUUUGCCUUUGACCUUUCUUCUCCUUUAAAAUAUCAAAGUCAAGAAACAAUGAGGUUAAGUGAUCAGAUCAAAAAGCACUCAGAAUGAGAUUGUAAGAACAUCGAGAGAAAUAGAUGGAUCUAUUACCUCUCUCUGAGCUGAUAACGUCCAAGAUCUGACGAAAACUGCAAAAAAAAACAUACAGAAAAAGAAGAAGAAGAAGGCUUAACAAACUAGAGGAAGACUUGGGAGAUGCAUAAUGCCAAAAACUCAAGUUAGUAGAGAAGCUAUUACGUACUCUUGCGUCUAUUCACGAAAAUGGAGGAUCUGUGUGAGGAUCAAAGCGAUGAAGAUGAAGAAGAAGAAUAAAAAUGGGAGAUAUGGUUAAAUCUUCCUUUUAUGUUUUUCUUUUUUAGCUGGAGGAGACAAACAGUGGGGUUCCACUUUGGCUUGUCUGUUUUUUCUUUUGUAAUAACAGCAAAAUAUUUGAAGAUUAGAGAAUUCUCUGAAGAUUAUAUUUACAAUAAUAAAACAACAACGAAUGGAUGUUCUUAUCUUAUCUUACUGUAUCAUUUUACCAAAUAAAGGGAUAAUUGAUCUGUUUAAAUUUUUUAUUGAGAAAAAUACUAGUAUAGCACCAAACUAAGUUUUUGUUCCCAAAGUAGCACUCAAUGCUCAAAAUCAUAAAAAUAAGUUUUAUUAAAGAGGUAAAUAUACAUUUAUAUCCCUUGGGUUAAUUAAUCCAAACCUUAGGGUUUAGAGUUAAGGGGUAGGUUUUGGAAUUAGGGUUUAAAAUUUUAUAAAAAAUAAAUACUAAAACAAAAAUAAAAAUUUUUAAAACAGUUUCAAAAAGUAUUUUUAAAUUAUAAAAAGAAAAUUUGAAAAAAAAAUAAAAAAAGUUUCAAAAAAAAAUUAUAAAAAUUUCGAAUCUGAAAACAUAUAAUCUGAAAUUAUAAAAUAAAUUUUUUAUUUUUUUAUUUUAGUUAUUUUUAUUUAUUUUUAUUUAUUUAUUUAAUUUCAAACCAAGGGUAUCAGGGAUAUUUUACCCUUUAAUGAAUGUUAUUUUUGUGACUUUUUCUUUCUAGUGCUAUUUUUGACACAUAAACUUCAAAAGUUGCUAUUAUUGACAAUUGCUCUUUUUUAUUCUCCUCGAAUAUGCUAAAUAAAAAUAUCUAACAUAUCCAUUGCUGUCCACACCACCUAUUAUAGAUUCCUAAACAAAUAGAUAUGCGACGACAAGUAAAGCGUCUUUUGCAUAAUAAAUUGUUUUACUAUUGCAUGUCAUAAUCAGUAGAAUAAUAUAAUUAAAUAUCAUUAAAAGGUUUUGAUAUUCAUAGAAACUAUAUCACUGGAGUGCUAAGUGGAGAAAAUAAAUUGGCAACUCAUUUUUGUUUUGCAAUCCCAUCAAAUUAAUGUUUUAAUUCGUCUAGAGAUAAACAAAUCUGACAAAAAAAAAGUGAAAAAAGGAUUAAAACUAUUAGCUUCUGAGAAAUAUGAUAAUGGGAGCUUCCUUCUGAUGCUUGUGAAAUGAACUCCACGUCUUGAAUCUAGCCUCCUCCUGCAUCAGGAAAUCAAAUCAGGAUACGUGUUGACUCGGACAACACAUAAAACAAGAUCCUAGAAGAAUAAUACAUUACAUUACAGGGAUGAGUCUAAGACCUCACAACUACAAUAUCCAUCCUUUCAAUUGCUAAUACAAGUCAGGCCAAAACAGGCUAAUCUAAUUUGAGUUAAUAGACAAUAAUCAUUAAUAAUCCUUAACACUAAUGAGACUUAAAUUUUGGACAAAGCUACAAAGAUGGGUGCAUAUUAUUUACUCUUAUAUGUUGCUUGGGUACAUGAACACUCUGACUCUAGCUCCCUGAGAGUAACACAACAGAAAACAAAUGAUGAGUCACACACUUGAGCAUUUACAAAGAAAAAAAACAUCAUAUUAACGAAGAGAUGCGUUCCAAGGAAACGAAGUUACCAUUGACUUUGGUGGUAGGUUUGAAGUGAACUUGGCACGGACAACACCGCUGUUACCAUGAGGCCUAGCGACUUUGCCCCAGAUGCAACGGUAGUGAGAACCGUUCUUCUUUGUCUUCGCCUUGUAGAUAUAAGCCAUGCGCUUUCCCUUGUACCAAGUAACCUCCUCUGUUGUGUUCACUCCUUCGAUCUGGAUUAGAGAUGUGUUUGGGUACUGGUUCGACUUCGACCUGAAAAUGUACAUUAACAGUCACUAAUCAAGCUUAAGAUUAAGAUUGCUACUUAAGAUUUUCAAACACUUCUUGGUACGCAAGUAACUGCACCAGAAGCUCAAAAUGUAAUCAUUUCAAGAACCAUAAAUCAAGAACAAAAGACGCAAUCUUUCACACGGACAACUAGACUAAAACACAGAUAAAGACAGGAUCAAAGUUGUGCAAAAGUACCUCUUGUAACCGAGGACUGUUCCUCGAACAUACAAUCUGCAAAAACAGCAAACAAAUAAAGGUUUUGUCAGAUGAAUAAACCAUUAGUUACUCGAAUCGGAGAUUCAGAGAGAGAAGUCUGUUUAUGUUAGAACCGUUAGUUACCUAACUCUUUCUCCUUGGCGUCCUUUCAUUUUCGAUUCUGAUACUGUGUCUUCUUCUUCGUCUUUGACUCUUUUAUGCCGGCGAGUGAAGUACAGAGAAGAGCCCUAGCUAGCUUUCGAUAUUAGGUUAAACAAUAUAUAUGUGGAUUCAUAAAUAAGCCCAUUAUGAAUCCCUAUUAGGCCUACAUUUGGCCCAGGCACUUACAGUUAACAAGUAAAUGAACCGGAGAAAACCAUAUAAGACAGAGUUUUCAACAAUUUAAAGUCAUCAUUUCAAAUUUUAAACACGAGAAUUCAAGAUCAAUCUAAAUUUUGAAUUGAUUUACACUAAAUCCGUUUUUAUCACUUUUCUUUUUUUUUAAAAAAAAUCAGUGAUAAUGAACUUGUUAUUUUAAAAUGUAUUUUUUAUCAAAAGUAUUUAAGGAAUUAGAUUCUUAAGUUUAAGAGAUGUUCAUUGUGGUUUAUGGUGUUUAAUAUAUAACUAGAUUUUGACCCGCGCUUUCAAAGCGCGGGUUUAUUUUUGUUUUUUUUUCAAUUGACAAAUAUUUAGUAAAUGUCACAUUUUCAUAUAUUUGUGUUUUAUUUUAUAAAAGACUUAAAAAUUUUAUUUUUAUUUAUCGUAUUUCAUUUUAAAUGACUAUUUAUGUUAAAAAAAUUAAACUUUAUUUUUUUAAUGAAUUAAGUUGGUAUAACUCUGAUAAAUUAAUUUUAUUAUGGGGUUAAUAUUUUAAUUAAAAAAUUAUAUACUUUUAAUAAAGAUUUAUACUUUUCAAUAAAAAAAUUCAAUUAUUUUUAUGAAUGCUUAAAUUAUAUUAAGAAAAGAAAAAAAUAAUAAUUAAGAAUAGUUGAAAAAAAAUUAUUUGAACUUGGACUCAAUGGUCCAAAGGAAAAAAAAAGGUGAGAAUUGAAUCUGAUUUUUUAAUAGGCCCAAAUGGCACAAAGGAGAUUUGAUUUGGGCUGGAUCCAAAAAUAAUGACCCAAUAUAGAUUUGUUAUUAAUAUUACUUAAUUGCCCUUAAUGAAACAUGCAAUGUUAGUGAAGGAAACAUGCCCCUAAGGUAAUUAUGACAAUAGGAUCCUGAUUUAAUAGUAUAGAUUAUAAUAAUUUCUCUAAUUGACUUAAGAUGGUUUAAAGUAGGUUCUAAAAAUCAGUCUAGGCGGCGCCUAGGUUGCAACUCGAUCUUAGCCAAAACGAUUUUUCUAUAAUCCUAUUCAUACGAUUCAAAUUGGUUUAAAAUGCUAUAAAUAGAUUAAAAUCUGUUUAAAUCAGAUCUAAACUAGUCUAAAUAUGUUAAAAGUAAUCGUGUUAGUAUAAAUCCACAAAUUUGUCUGAUUUAUUUUGUUUUGGAUAUAUCACAAUAUUUUAUAAUUAAACUUAAAAAUAAAAAUAUUUCAUACAAACAUAAAAAAUAUAAAAAAUAAAUUAAUAAUUUGUUUACAACUAGGCUUUGUCUAGGCCCCGAAUUAUCUGCCAAGUCGAUAGUUUUCUAUAAAGCACCUAGUUGCCGUCUAGCGAUUUCUUGAACAACUUUAAACUCAGUUAAAUCGCUUCAAUUCUUUUCACAUACUAGAAGUCUAGAAUACAUAUUCAAUGUUGUUUUGUUAAUUAAACUAAAAUUGUCAAACCAAACCGGAAACGGUUAUAAGUCUUUUUGAUUUGUAAGCGAAGUACAAGUAACAAUAAAAUGGAUUACAGUUGUUUCGCUAUAAGGAGAUUACAACAUAAACAAUGUCGUAGACGACAAAGAUAUAGCACUUUUCAGACAUCAGCAAAAACAUGGAAGUUCUUGGAGUCAACAGCAAUGAGUCUAACAGCAGCAAUUGCAGCAGCAAGAGACAUUAACCCAAAGAAGCAAACGUUAAGCCAAUGCCAUAGCUUUUGAACAGGACUAAGCUUAUCGUUCAUAGCUACGACAUACAUGUGAUUUGCUAAUAUGAACGUGAGAGGGAAAGUGCUUAUAGCUCCCGUGAGGCUCAUGAAAUCUCCAAGAAACGGUAAAAGCGCUGAGAGAAGAGUGCUCACCGCGAUGUAGCUUCCUCGCGCUACUGUUCUAAACAACAGAUUCUUCAGUGCUAAUGGACUUCCUUUGAUUCCAUACUUUGUGUCCAUAAACUCAUACGUCGGACUAGGUAAUGCAUGUUUUAUCCGGCUGUACCUAGAAGAACUAGCUUGCCAGAGAAGAACAAACCUGGUUAACGUCAGGAACCAUUCCUCCUGUAUAUCUCAAUGUGUACUUCUCUUUCACGUAGUAAUCAAUCAGCUGAUUUUAACAGUGAAUAAGAAAAACAUUCAAAGAUUUGUAUAGAAUAGUGAUUAGAUUAAAGCAGAACAAAAGCAAGAACCUUGCUGUAUUCAGAAUUGUCAAACGUGGCUCUCAAGUUUCCUGGUGAGAACAUUUUCCCUUCAUUAAUCUCUGUGGUCUCCUUAACAUGCUGCCAUUUACCUGAGAAACAUUUUGACCUUAAGUCUAAAACUACCAGAGAGUGAAUCUUGGUUGGACCAAAAGCAGAGGAGUACCUUCAUCAAGAAGCAAGAACUCAUGAGUUCCUGGAAACCCUUUAACAGCCAAAACAUAAGUGGUUCUUGGACCAUAGAUUCCCAUGGCUGCAGCCACUUGAUCUCCUCCCGUGACUCCGGUUAACUUAUCACCAGGCCAAACCCCAAAUAUGGUUCCCACAGUGAAGUUUGUAUCCACAAUGCUGGAUCCAUCCAAUGGAUCAAAUGCCACACUAAACCCACCUUCCACUGGACCUCCCAUGUCUUGAAGCUCAGGUACUUCUUCAGAGCAAGCGUAUUUACACACAUGCGAGUAUUGCAAAGCCUAGAAAAACAAAAACAAAAAAAAAAAUAUUAAUCAAACCCUAAUGAUCCUUGUGACAUAAGUUACUCAAAAUAUAAAGAAAACAACCUCAAAGAGAAGCUUAUCGGCGAGCAUAUCGACAGCGAGUUGUUCAUCGCCAAAGGAAUUAACACAAGCAGUCCCACCACAAGAAGCUGUCCUAACUUUGAAAGCUAUUGUCCUCAACGCUUCUCCCAUACACAUCAGCAAAGUUCUCAAUCCCUUGUCAGGUGUUGCUUCUCUCAAAAACUCUUCCUAUACACUCAAACUCAAUAAUUGAAUCAUCAACAAGAUUUUUAGAUAAAAGAAUUGAGUAAUGUUAUUGCUCUGGAGACUUACCAAGCUUUGAC
rnacentral:lncRNA from 1 species